CUAACCUUGUGGUCAGGACGUACGGGCCAAGGACAGUCUCAGGUAGACAGUUUCUAUGGGGCGUAGGCCUCCAAAAGUAACGGAGGCGUGCAAAGGUUCCUCUGCGCACGAGAGUUGGCCCUCGAGCUGCAAAGCAGAAGGAGCUUGAAUGCAAAGACCAGCCCGUCGAGCAGGGACGGAGGUCGGCUUAGUGAUCGACGGUGCCGAGUGGAAAGGGCCGUCGCUCAACGGGAUAAAGUUACUCUAGAUAACGGCUGAUUUCCAAGAGCUCACAUCGACGGGAAGUUCAUUGGCACUCGCAUGUCGGCUCUUCGCCACCUGGAGGCUGUAGUAUAUGUUCCAGGUUGGGCUGUUUCCGCCCAUAAAGCGGUAGUAGCUGGGUUACAGAACGUCGUGAAGACAGUUCGGUCCAUAUCCGGUGUGGGCGUUAGAGCAUUGAGAGGACCUUUCCCUAGUACGAGGACCGGGAGGACGCAACCUCUGGUGUACCAGUUAUCGUAGCCCACGGUAAACGGACUGGGUAGCCGUGCGGGCGGGAUUAAUUGCUGAAGCAUCUUAAGUAGUAAGCCCACCCAAUGAGUGCUUCUCCUAUUCCAAUUCCCAGAGCCUCCGGUGACACAGCGAGACAGCGACGGGUCUCUGCCCUGCGGGGAUGGAGCGACAGAAGUUGUGAGAAUUCUAAAGAGAAGGUCUAGCGAGACGAGCCGUUUAUCAUUACGAUAGGUGUCAGUGGAAGUGCGUGAUGUUAUGCGCUGAGCCAUCCUAACGACCGGUAGCUUGAACCUU
rnacentral:ncRNA from 2 species